GUCUAUGGCCAUACCACCCUGAACGCGCCCGAUCUUGUCUGAUCUCGGAAGCUGAGCAGGGUCGGGCCUGGUUAGUACUUGGAUGGGAGGAAUGCCAAAAAGAGAAA
rnacentral:rRNA from 1 species